UACGAAGGGGGCUAGCGUUGUUCGGAAUCACUGGGCGUAAAGCGCACGUAGGCGGAUGUGCCAGUCAGGGGUGAAAUCCCGGAGCUCAACUUCGGAACUGCCUCUGAUACAGCACGUCUUGAGUCCGGGAGAGGUGAGUGGAACUGCGAGUGUAGAGGUGAAAUUCGUAGAUAUUCGCAAGAACACCAGUGGCGAAGGCGGCUCACUGGCCCGGUACUGACGCUGAGGUGCGAAAGCGUGGGGAGCAAACAGG
rnacentral:rRNA from 1 species